rnacentral:rRNA from 1 species
CCGUUCGGGUUGUAAAGCACUUUUGUCAGGAACGAAACGGUCUGGGCUAAUAUCCUGGGCUAAUGACGGUACCUGAAGAAUAAGCACCGGCUAACUACGUGC